GACGAACGCUGGCGGUGUGCUUAACACAUGCAAGUCGAACGGUGACGUGCUUUCCUUUUGGGUGGGGGUGAUGAGUGGGGGACGGGCUGGUUAUAGGUUAGGAACCUGCCCCGUUCAUGUUGGCUACCGCCGGAAAGGGUGGGUAAUAAGGGAUAAUUUGCCUCUGGAUGAUGGCGGGUGUGGUUAAGUUUGUGGCGUUGGGUGGUCUCGGUGGGGGAUGGGCCCGUGGCCUGUCAGCUUGUUGGUGGGGUGAUGGCCUACCUAGGCGGCGGCGGGUAGCCGGCCUGAGAGAGUGGACGGUCAGACUGGGACUGAGGCCCGGCCCGGACUCAUACGGGGGGCAGCAGUGGGGGAUAUUGCGCAGUGGGCGCAAGCCUGAUGCAGCGGCGCCGCGUGAGGGAUGGAGGCGUUCGGGGUGUGAACCUCUUUCGCCAGUAAAGCAGGCCUGCUCGUUGUGGGUAGGUUGACGGUACCUGGAUAAGAAGCGCCGGCUAACUACGUG
rnacentral:rRNA from 1 species